UGAAUUUUGGAGUGCGUGUUCAUAUUCUUAUUGUGUUCCUGGAAACCUUUUGUCACGAUACGCUGAAAUCUUUGUUGGAUCCUGUAACAUUAACAUAGGUAAUGAAUAGAAUUCACACUAAUAAGUGAUAUUGGUAAUUUAGUAAUUUUAAAAAUAGGAAAAAUAUUGGAUAUUACCUUGAACAGCAACGCCAUUGCACCUUAUCUGAAAAUGAAGACAAGUAGUAUAUUGUGUUGUUACUCUCGAGUUAAUAGUUACACAUGCUUAUAGAAACAAAUCUGAUGAUGUUUAAAUUAGUAUGACUAUCACAUUUGUUGCAUGAAAUUAUUCUUACAGAACCAACUCUGAUGAUGUUUAAAUUAGAUGAGAAGCUGAAGUUGAUAGAAUCUCGUCUGGAAAGCAAAAAUUGAGGGCCCACUUCAGGCUUACAUCCUCGUUGACGUACAUCACGUGAUAUUCCUCCGGUGUGGAGUUAAGAAUUUGGGGGUUUCUUUCAAGAAGCAAGUAAAAUGUACAGCAACUAAAGUUUACUUGGUCUCAAAUUCUUCUUGCCCAGGUUCCAAUGGCUCCAAAACAGCCAAACACAGGACUCUUUGUGGGUCUAAAUAAAGGGCAUGUUGUCACCAAGAAGGAAUUAGCACCUCGUCCUUCCGACAGAAAAGGGGCUUAUCAAGAUAUUCUCUAGCUUUGAGAGCUGCAUAAGGCUAAUGAUUAAAAAAAGAAAAGUGAGUCAGUAAAUGGAGAUUCUAAAGAUCAUCAUCCAAAUGCACCAAAAUUUAGAGUAAGAUCGAACCACUAUUAAUGAAGGUAUUCUACUGGGCUAGGAUGCUUGUUGUUUGGAUAUGGAGCCAUGGAAGAACUUGGACCCUUCCGUGUUAACAGUGAUGGAAAAACACUCUACCCCAACCACUAUGCAUGGAACAAUGGUGCAUGCCUAACCCUAUAAAACCUUUGCUUUUGAGGUACUAACUGUUUUCUCCUGGAAUUUUUUUUGCCUGAGAUUUUUUGCUGCCAGCUAUCCCUUCGGGACCACUCUUAUGUAUUAUGUUAAAAGCACCAAUUCAGAAAUUUGCUGAUUAUGUAAGUCAGCUUUCCUCUUCCUUUUUGCUUUUUAUUAUUUAUGCACCCUUAUGCCACAAAUCUCUUUAUUUAUCAUACUAAAUAUGCAACCAUCCCUUAUUUUACUCCUAACUUGUUGUAUAAUUCAUUCAUGUCAGCUGCAUAUAUGUUGCAUAAAAUAAAUUGGUAAAAGUAGACAUGUGAAUUAUGCAUCUGUUAUCUCAAAUCUUACAUUUAUUUUUAUUUCUGUUAUUGUUUUUUCCAGCUUUUAGGUGUUGGUGUCAAGCUUGUUGGCAAUACAGUGUGGAGUACCCUCUUUCAUCAAUUCUUAAUAGUGAUGUCACGUGAGAAAUCAUUUUUCUUUUUGUUAAACAAGUCUUUAUUAUCAUGUAUUAGGUCAUACCAUGGGUAAAAACAGCCUUGCCCCUGGUUCCGGGGUUGUCACAAAAUACUUGA